CUACGUAGGGGGCGAGCGUUGUCCGGAAUGAUUGGGCGUAAAGGGUGCGUAGGCGGUUUGCUAAGCGGGAGGUGAAAUGCCGGCGCUCAACGUCGGAAGUGCCUCCCGAACUGGUGGACUGGAAUGACUCUGCCGUGGGAGGAAUGUGUAGUGUAGCGGUGAAAUGCUUAGAGAUUACACAGAACACCGAUUGCGAAGGCAUCUCACGAAGGGUUGAUUGACGCUGAGGCACGAAAGCGUGGGGAUCAAACAGGAUUAGAUACCCUGGUAGUCCACGCAGUAAACGAUGAUGGCUAACCGCUGGUUUUUUCGGAUCAGUGGCCAAGCGAAAGCGAUAAGCCAUCCACCUGGGGAGUACGACCGCAAGGUUGAAACUCAAAGGAAUUGACGGGG
rnacentral:rRNA from 1 species